CAAUAAAAUAAAAUACAUAAGUAUUGUAUGGUAUAUGGAUGCUAUGGUCGUGGAGUGUGCGGAAUAGUCCAAAACGCGUUUCGCCCUUCUAAUGGGGCUUCCUCAGUUGGUUUUAGUCACUUGCUGUGUCUGCUCUGUUUUAAAUGUGCCGAUUUUACUCUAAUUCCGGUUUGGAGGUUGCGGUACGUCACUGCCGGUAUUUCUCCGCAGUGGAACACGUGCGUUCCAGACGUCCCAUAGGUGUAAUUCUGACGUCUGGAAACUUUGUUACUCGAAAUUGUCUGCUCAUAUUAAGGGGAAUAGGGAUGUGAUUGUAUAUAUUCCUGUUGCUACAAUUUGGCAUAUAUAUAGCUAAGAAACAGAAGUGCAACUGCAUAUCUAUGUUGUGUAUUCCUGUUAUUGCUAAUUAGCAUGUAUGUAGCUGACAUAUAUAGCUUGUUAGAAGAAACAGGGGUGCAAUUGCAUAUAUGUGUUGUAUAUUCCUGUCUUUUACACUUUAGCAUAAAUAGCAGAAACAGAAAUAUGCA